UGAUCUGCCAGACCUCACCCUGGAGC
rnacentral:misc_RNA from 1 species